ensembl:lncRNA
CCUGUUGGGUCUGCUUCUCAGUUUUGCUGCGUCACAGUGUUAGGAAGGGGUGUUGGUGUGUUCUGCUCUGCCGUGCGUGGCUAACUUUUCAGUCUGUGGAAUGUGCUACUGAAAUACCCUCAGCAGUUCUGUACCUAACUCUGCUGCUUCAUGAAAGGAGGGAGAUGGUGAAGACCUCAUAAGAUCUGAUCUCCGAAUCUUCACUGCAUCCACACAGAAAUUUUUCUUGGCAGGCAGUUUCUUGGCAUUGACUGGCUGUCAGCAGGAGCAGCACAUCUCCUGAAAAUGUGAGAGUCCGGUUCUCCACACUGGGUGGAUGAGGCUGCGCUGAGACUUCUUGCAUGGCAUUUCUACAAGUAGUUAUGAAUUCAUUCUAAGUCUGUUCUAAGGCAAAACUUGCUUAGCACUGUAAUGCAGUGAACACAGAAGUCCAACCUAGCCAAGUGUUGAGUUACAUACAAAGUUCGCUAAGUCUUUGCUGGUCAAAUAAUACUUUGUGCUUGCAAGUAUAUCUCAGCAAAGUUCAUUCUUGGUCCUCUCCUCAGGAGGUAGGAAUCUGUUCUCUCUUAGUUUCCUGCUUAUUUUGAUUUUUACUUAUGAAACAAAACAAAAAAAACCCCAUCAAUCUACUAUGUACAAUAUCUUAAGUUCCAUUUGUCUUUUCAUAGAAUGUUUCUGUCCCACUGAAACACACUAACAUGUUAAGAACUGCAAAAUGUUAAACUGAGAGCAAGAAUGUUUGCACCAUGUAUUUGGACUGUAAUAUUUGUCAGAUACAAGCAUGUGCUUAAAUUAAGAACAUGCUUAACUUUGAAUUUUGACCUCUUUGCUCAUGUAGUAAAUGAAUUCAUUCCUAUAAAUCACUACUAUAAAUACUAUAAAUGUACUUCUAUAGGACCAUUCUCUGCCCAGGCCAAACAAUCUAUCAUUAUUUUGCCCUGUCCUAUUUACAUGUCCACUCAGUUGAAGUUUAAGUUAUUAAGAGGAAGGAGGUAAGAUUAUCUCAGUGCUGUUUUAAAGAAAAGUAUUCUUUCUGGAUAUUUAAUGAAGUAAAUUUGAAUUUAUAAGGCUGUUCU